CGCGUAGGCGGGUGUUUAAGUCAGAUGUGAAAACUAUGGGCUCAACCGAUAGACUGCAUUUGAAACUGGACAUCUUGAGGGCAGGAGAGGAAAGUGGAAUUCCUAGUGUAGCGGUGAAAUGCGUAGAUAUUAGGAGGAACACCAGUGGCGAAGGCGACUUUCUGGACUGUACCUGACGCUGAGGCGCGAAAGCGUGGGGAGCGAACAG
rnacentral:rRNA from 1 species